UGCAGUCGAACGAGAAUCUAUGGAAAGAGGAUUCGUCCAAUUGAAAUAGAGGACAGUGGCGGACGGGUGAGUAACGCGUGAGGAACCUGCCUUUCAGAGGGGGACAACAGUUGGAAACGACUGCUAAUACCGCAUAACGCGUAGAGGUCGCAUGGCCUUUACGCCAAAGAUUUAUCGCUGAAAGAUGGCCUCGCGUCUGAUUAGCUAGUUGGUGAGGUAACGGCCCACCAAGGCGACGAUCAGUAGCCGGACUGAGAGGUUGAACGGCCACAUUGGGACUGAGAUACGGCCCAGACUCCUACGGGAGGCAGCAGUGGGGAAUAUUGGGCAAUGGGCGCAAGCCUGACCCAGCAACGCCGCGUGAAGGAAGAAGGCUUUCGGGUUGUAAACUUCUUUUGUCAGGGACGAGCAGAAGACGGUACCUGACGAAUAAGCCACGGCUAACUACGUGCCAGCAGCCGCGGUAAUACGUAGGUGGCAAGCGUUGUCCGGAUUUACUGGGUGUAAAGGGCGUGUAGCCGGGUCGGCAAGUCAGAUGUGAAAUCCACGGGCUUAACUCGUGAACUGCAUUUGAAACUGUUGAUCUUGAGUAUCG
rnacentral:rRNA from 1 species